rnacentral:lncRNA from 12 species
GGGGGGGGGGGGGGGGGGGGGGGGGGGGGGGGGGGGGGGGGGGGGGGGGGGGGGGGGGGGGGGGGGGCACGGGCCCCGCGCUGCCCCCGGUACAAGCGCGGUGCGGGCCGGCCCCGCCGCCCCGCUCGCUGCUGCACACUGAGCAGCCUGCCCUGGCACCGGCUGCCAGGUUAUUUUCGCUUCGGCGGAGCCUGGCGCACGCUCAUGUGACUCAGGAACGCUCAAGUUUUUGCCUACGUUGUCACGUGUCAAGCAACAGCUUAGAGGGACCGGUGUGACCUUCAAUGUGUUUGACCUCAUGCUUUUUUAGUAUCCUGGCUUUCCCUGCGCAGCACUGAUAAUCUUGUGACUGUGAUUUAUUCUCUGACCGCUGAGAUAUCCAAGUGUAAAAACGCAUUUUCUGAAUGGAAUAUAUCAAAUAUCAAGUGGAAUUAAAAUAAAACUGGGUGAACUACGCUGUGGUGUCAUGUGUAUACUUGAGAAGAAACACUAAUUGAAUUUUGCUCUGCACAUGAAGGUCAUUUCUUUACACAAACUGCCAGUCACUAUAUGCGUGGUUGUUCUUUAAAGUAAAAACAGGUCUCAUAACGGCUCCUUCUUACACCCAGAAUUAGUACAGCAAAUGGGGCCUCCGUGGUAGAACAUUACAAAGAAUGAAGAACUAAUAUAACUGUCUCCAGAAAGAGAUACUGCAUUAAGAAAUGGCUUCAGGAGAGCUAAUGUGGCAUUCUUCCACUUCUGGCUGGGACCAGAACAAUUACAUUUAGGUAACUGGGAGCAAGCAACAGAAAAACAGGCACACCAAGUUGGGAAAAUAAAGAAAGAGUGUUUGAGAACAAAAUAAAAUUUUCUUCUUAAAAGUCUGCAAAUAAUAUUCUGAAGAUUAUUAAAAUACUUGGAGUUUUCUUAUUUUUCUUAUGCAUAAGGAUUUGUAAUUGCCAGCCUGAAAGCGAUUGCGCUGAAGAGGGUAAGAAGGAAGACAGGCUACAAACAUUUACUCCUACAUGGGGCUCAGUGCUUCCAAAACUCUGAAAUUCCUUGAGUAGUCCCUAGCUUACCUGAUUAUGUUUAAACUACAAAGGAGAAGGCUGCUGCCUGGACUGGCACGGACCUUCAUUUCAUUUGAUGGCAGAUCUUGGCAGCUGGCUGGGUACACUUUACAAAACUGUCAUGUCUAACCUCUUAGAGCAUGAGGAAUCCUUGCUGCUACUGUCCCCAGCUGGGAAGAGUUGUCCCUUCUAGAACCUGACACAGAAACUAACUGCACACACAGCCAGCCUGAUAUGGAACAGGAGAUCAAACCUGUUUUUCUUUGC